UACCUUUAACUCACUGUGUACGG
rnacentral:miRNA from 1 species